GUUCAAAGGGAGAUACCCACGCCGAGUACACCACUAACACUACCAGGAAAGUUUGCCACCACCUGCAUUGCAUCAUCAUCAUUCAUAUUCCAAAAUGCUCAACCAAAGUGGUCCGCUCUUUUUUCUCGCCAAAAAGCAAUUGCGAGUAUCCAUCACUCACAACUGUUCCAAACGCCGGUAAGAGGCUGCUGGAAACCGACGUUAAGUUCUUUAUUUCGCCGCUUGAGUGCCGCCGGAACAGCAAAGGUAUCGGCGACCGUGCUUCGGACACCGACGUGGACAUUGUGUUUUGGCCUUCUGCAAAUUCUAUGAUCCAGAAAAAAAGAGAGAGUCGAUUUUCAUGCACGCCUGAGACUUUUUAUACACACAAAAAAGGACUUCCACAUGGAAAAAAAAAAAGGAAGAUGUUGUGUUGGCAUUAGUGCGGUAUAAGGAUCUGGAAAAAGAAGGCAAAAUAUCUUUUACCAUCCUACGGUAAUUAAUAUACGCUCGAUGCAUUCGAGAUUCUAUUUUGCUUCAAGAAGCUGCAACACCAGAGCUCACACUUUGUUAAUCAUGCUCGAACAACAAAACUCCAUUAGAAUAAGGUUAGAAGACCACCCACCAUGAUUGCAAAUAAUGUUUCAGAGGGCUCGUUUUUCUUCUUACUUGUCCUAUUUUCUUUCUUCCUCAAUCUUGUACGAAAAAAAAAAAAAAAAAAUGAUACAUUGAAAACGAAAUCAAAACUAAAAUAAACGAAAAUACACCCAUCUAUUUAAAAUGUUUGAAAAUUGGGUAGAAAAUCAUUUACUUCAAUCAAUAAUACAACAAACUUUAGAUGGAUGCCCCAAUGUGGGUAUUUAUGUCAUCCAUUAGCCAUGCUUUGGCAAUGUGCAACCCAUUCAUUUUUUUUAUUGCACCCUUUGACAUUUACAAGGGAAGACUUCCAUAUCUUAGACUUUUAAAUUUGGUGAUGAGGUGGGAAAUUAAAUUAAAUAUCACAAAUACGUUGACAUCUAAUAUGUUCAUAAAAUUUAAGCUUAUUUUUGUAUAUCUUAUCUACUGAUUGGAUAAUGUUAAAAAAUGGCUACAACAAAAUAUAAUAUAAGGGAGAGAGAAUGACGGACUUUUAAUUUUACUUUGGUGGCAUCUACAGGUAAUGUGAUAAUACUUAAGGGAUUGAAUCUCAAGUGAAGCAUGCGAACGUCAUACUAUUGUUUAAGACUAUUGAAAUUUUACAGAAAGAAACAGUAAAUUAAGCCUACUUUUUGAACUUAAAAUUAUAGAGAAAAAAAUUUCUAUAGCAAAUUCUCUCUUUUUUGACAAUAACUUCAAGCACCCAAAGGACGUUACUUUAGGACUUCCCUACUAUUCUCUAACCAGAAAUAGGAUGGUGCGAUCCUUUUCUUUUGAAAGAAAGGGAAAGACUUUACAGAAGAUGGUUUUUCUCUGUAACCUUUGAGAGAGAGAUUUUUUAGAGUUAUCCUGUACAUGAAAUUUCUCAAUUUCAUAGAUAAUGCCGACAAUCUAUACUAUAAUUAUAGGAGAGAGAUGUGAGAGGGAGAAUAAUUCCCUCUUACACGUACACCACUCCU